UACGAAGGGGGCUAGCGUUGUUCGGAAUCACUGGGCGUAAAGCGCACGUAGGCGGAUCGCUAAGUCGGGGGUGAAAUCCCGAGGCUCAACCUCGGAACUGCCUUCGAUACUGGCGAUCUUCGAGUCCGGGAGAGGUGAGUGGAACUCCGAGUGUAGAGGUGAAAUUCGUAGAUAUUAGGAAAGAACACCGGUGGCGAAGGCGGCCCACUGGAUCGGUACUGACGCUGAGGUGCGAAAGCGUGGGGAGCAAACAGG
rnacentral:rRNA from 1 species